CCUACGGGAGGCUGCAGUGGGGAAUAUUGCGCAAUGGGCGAAAGCCUGACGCAGCGACGCCGCGUGAGGGAUGAAGGUCUUCGGAUCGUAAACCUCUGUCAGCAGGGAAGAACGGUCACUGUGCUAAUCAGCAGUGAAUUGACGGUACCUGCAAAGGAAGCACCGGCUAACUACGUGCCAGCAGCCGCGGUAAUACGUAGGUGGCAAGCGUUAUCCGGAAUUAUUGGGCGUAAAGAGCGCGCAGGUGGUUAAUUAAGUCUGAUGUGAAAGCCCAAGGCUUAACCGUGGAGGGUCAUUGGAAACUGGUUGAAUUGAGUGCAGAAGAGGGAAGUGGAAUUCCAUGUGUAGCGGUGAAAUGCGUAGAGAUAUGGAGGAACACCAGUGGCGAAGGCGGCUUCCUGGUCUGCAACUGACACUGAGGCGCGAAAGCGUGGGGAGCAAACAGGAUUAGAUACCCCUGUAGUC
rnacentral:rRNA from 1 species